rnacentral:tRNA from 1 species
GCCUUCAUGGUGUAAUGAUUAGCACACUCGGCUCAUAUUCGAGAGAUCCGAGUUUCGAGUCCCGUCGAGGGCA